rnacentral:rRNA from 1 species
AUGGCCCACCUCUCCGCCCCGCCUGCUGCCGCCGGCCACCGCGUCUCCCCAUCACAUCAGCCGUUCCUCGCUUUGAAGAAAAUCGCGCCGUCAUCGGGCCGAGCCGUCGCGCCGGCAGGGCUUCCUUCGUGGGGGGCGGCGGUGGCUAGAGCCGCCGCGAGCUCCGAUCGGGCAGCACCGGCCGGCACCAUUGUCAAUCCAAUUGAUGUCCCUCUCUUGUCUUUCUCUGAGAUUGCAGAAAGGCUUGAUGCGUUCCAAGCAUCUGGUGCUAGAAGUCAAAAUUACGUGGCCAUGUACUCUAGUAUUUUUGGUGGAAUUACCACAGAUCCCUCAGCAAUGGUGAUACCGAUUGAUGAUCACAUGGUCCAUAGAGGACAUGGUGUUUUUGAUACUGCUGCUAUUAUGGAUGGUCACCUUUAUGAGUUAGAACAGCAUAUCGACCGCUUCCUGAAUUCUGCCCAGAUGGCCAAAAUCCCAUUGCCAUUUGACCGUUCAACAAUUCGAAGCGUACUUAUUCAAACUGUGUGCGCAUCAAAAUGUUCUCAAGGAUCACUCAGGUACUGGUUGUCUGUUGGACCUGGAGACUUCCAGUUAUCUUCAUCUGGCUGUAGAAACCCAGCUCUCUACGCUGUCGUCAUUGAAAGUCCAUCUUUGCCAGAACCAUCUGGCUGCAAAGUGAUCACAUCAUCCAUACCGGUAAAGUCUCAACAAUUUGCGGUCAUGAAAAAUGUAAACUACCUGCCGAAUGCACUCACCAAGGUGGAAGGUGAGGAAAAUGGUGGGUUUACCGGCAUCUGGUUGGAUGAUGAGGGUUUCGUCGCUGAGGGUUCAAACAUGAAUGUUGGCUUUGUGACACCGAACAAGGAGCUUCUCAUGCCCCGCUUCGACAAGAUCCUGAGUGGGUGCACGGCAAAACGGGUUCUGGCCCUUGCCGAGCAGCUAGUGGAGAAUGGAAUGCUCAGUGGGAUAUCUUUAAGGAAUGUGAGUGUCCAGGAAGGGAAGGAGGCCGACGAGAUGAUGCUCAUUGGAAGUGGAAUUCUUGUCAAACCUGUUGUUCAGUGGGAUGAUCAGAUGAUUGGCUCCGGUAAAGAAGGCCCAAUUGCUCAAACACUUUUCAACCUUGUUCUUGAGGACAUGAGAUCUGGUCCACCUUCAGUUCGUAUCCCUGUCCCUUACUGA